UACGGAGGGUGCGAGCGUUGUCCGGAAUCGCUGGGCGUAAAGGGCGCGUAGGCGGCUGGGGAAGUCGGCGGUGAAAGCCCGGAGCUCAACUCCGGGUCGGCCGUCGAGACUCCUCGGCUCGAGCUCACUAGAGGCAGAUGGAAUUCCGGGUGUAGCGGUGGAAUGCGUAGAGAUCCGGAGGAACACCAGCGGCGAAGGCGGCGUCCUGGACUGGUACUGACGCUCAGGAGCGAAAGCGUGGGGAGCGAUCCGG
rnacentral:rRNA from 1 species